GAUGAAGAACGCAGCGAAAUGCGAUAAGUAAUGUGAAUUGCAGAAUCCAGUGAAUCAUCGAAUCUUUGAACGCUCAUUGCGCCCGCCAGCAUUCUGGCGGGCAUGCCUGUUCGAGCGUCAUUUCAACCCUCGACCUCCCUUUGGGGAAGUCGGCGUUGGGGACCGGCAGCACACCGCCGGCCCUGAAAUGGAGUGGCGGCCCGUCCGCGGCGACCUCUGCGUAGUAAUCCAACUCGCACCGGAACCCCGACGCGGCCACGCCGUAAAACACCCAACUUCUGAACGUUGACCUCGAAUCAGGUAGGACUACCCGCUGAACUUAAGCAUAUCAAUAAGCGGAGGA
rnacentral:misc_RNA from 1 species